rnacentral:rRNA from 1 species
CCAGCAGCCGCGGUAAUUCCAGCUCCACUAGCGUAUAUUAAAGUUGUUGCAGUUAAAAAGCUCGUAGUUGGAUUUCUGACAUGGCGCGCCUGGUCCGCCCCGUAAAGGUGUGUGAGUACCGGCGCGCGCCUGUCAUCCUUCCGCGGAGCGAGCCUACCCUUCAUUGGGCCGGGCUGGCGACGUGGAUCGUUUACUUUGAAAAAAUUAGAGUGUUCAAAGCAGGCUGUACGCUUCUGAAUACAUUAGCAUGGAAUAAUAAGAUAGGACUUGGGUUCUAUUUUGUUGGUUUCUAGGACCGAAGUAAUGAUUGAUAGGGAUAGUUGGGGGUGCUAGUAUUCAGCGGCCAGAGGUGAAAUUCUUGGA